AUUGAACGCUGGCGGCAGGCCUAACACAUGCAAGUCGAGCGGGGUUUUCGGACCUAGCGGCGGACGGGUGAGUAAUGCGUAGGAAGCUGCCCGAUAGAGGGGGAUACCAGUUGGAAACGACUGUUAAUACCGCAUAAUGUCUACGGACCAAAGUGUGGGACCUUCGGGCCACAUGCUAUCGGAUGCGCCUACGUGGGAUUAGCUAGUUGGUGAGGUAAUGGCUCACCAAGGCGACGAUCUCUAGCUGGUUUGAGAGGAGGAUCAGCCACACUGGAACCAAGACACGAGCCGGUCGCCUUCGGGAGGCAGGAGUGGGAAAUAUUGGACAACAGGCGCAAGCCUGAUCCAGCCAUGCCGCGUGUGUGAAGAAGGCCUUCGGGUUGUAAAGCACUUUCAGCGAGGAGGAAGGGUUAGUCGUUAAUAGCGGCUAAUUUUGACGUUACUCGCAGAAGAAGCACCGGCUAACUCUGUGCCAGCCGCCGCAGUAAGAC
rnacentral:rRNA from 1 species